rnacentral:rRNA from 1 species
AGAACGAACGCUGGUGGCGUGGAUAAGACAUGCAAGUCGAACGGAGUAAUUCGAAUAGCAAUAUUUGGAUUACUUAGUGGCGGACGGGUGAGUAACACGUGGGCAACCUGCCCGGAAGAGGGGGAUAGCUCGCCGAAAGGCGAAUUAAUACCGCAUGUGGCCUGGAAAGACAUCUUUCCUCAGCCAAAGCUGGAGCAAUCUAGCACUUCUGGAUGGGCCCGCGGCCUAUCAGCUUGUUGGUGAGGUAAUGGCUCACCAAGGCUAUGACGGGUAGCUGGUCUGAGAGGACACAGUCACACUGGAACUGAGACGACGUCACGACGACCGUACGGUGGCAGCGAGUACGAGAAUCAGUACGACGAACGUA